UAACAACAGUUACCCAUUCUGUAAUGGAAGG
rnacentral:piRNA from 1 species